CUUCGUCCAGAGCAGCCACGAUGUCGGGGUCCAUGUCCAGCCGCGGUCCUGAAGAGAAACACACAAAACAAUGAGGCUGACGUCUGGACCUUUAAAGCUGCUUCACAUGUUGGGGACAAAACAGCAGCAAGAGGAUUUUCAAGACUGAGGGUAACUCUGAGUCAAUUUACAGGAAUGACCUUGUCCAUGUCAUCCUCCUCCUCGUCCUCGUCCUCGUCAUCUUCAUCAGGGAGAUGAAUCCGUUGCCUUUCAGGUUGCGCGGGGCCGGCUGCCACCAGCUCAUUCGUCGCCGACGCCUCCUUCAGGUGCUGCAGGUAGUUGUAG